UACGUAGGGGGCAAGCGUUGUCCGGAUUUAUUGGGCGUAAAGAGCGUGUAGGCGGUUAUACAGGUCCGCUGUGAAAACUCGAGGCUCAACCUCGAGAUGUCGGCGGAAACCAUCUGGCUAGAGUCCGGAAGAGGAGAGUGGAAUUCCUGGUGUAGCGGUGAAAUGCGCAGAUAUCAGGAAGAACACCCGUGGCGAAGGCGGCUCUCUGGGACGGUACUGACGCUGAGACGCGAAAGCGUGGGGAGCGAACAGG
rnacentral:rRNA from 1 species